AAUGAAAAUUACAACAAAUCCUAAAUCCUAAACAAAUCCUAAAUCCUAAAUCAAACCUUAAACCAAAUCUUAGAAAAAUCCUAAAUCUUAAAUCAAAUCCUAGAUCAAAUCUUAGAAUCUAAAUUAAAUCUUAGAUCAAACACUAGAUCUUAAACCAAAUUCUAAAUCAAAUCUUAGACAAAUCCUAAAUUCUAAACCAAAUCCUAAAUUAAAUCCUAAAUAAAUUCUAAACCAUAAAUCAAAUCCUAAAUCAAUCAUAAAUCCUAAAUCAAAUACUAGAUCAAAUCCUAGAUAAAUCCUAAAUCUUA
rnacentral:lncRNA from 1 species